AGCAGCCGCGGUAAUUCCAGCUCCAAUAGCGUAUAUUAAAGUUGUUGCAGUUAAAAAGCUCGUAGUUGAAUUUCGGAGUUCUACCGUCGGUCGGGCUACCAAGUCUGUACUGGUGUGUAGAAUUCCCACCUUCUGGGGAACUAUCAUGUUAUUAAUUUAGCGUGGUGGGAAACCAGGACCUUUACCUUGAAAAAAUUAGAGUGUUCAAAGCAGGCUUAUGUCUGAAUACAUUAGCAUGGAAUAAUAGAAUAGGACGGUGGUCCUGUUUUGUUGGUUUCUGAAUCACCGUAAUGAUUAAUAGGGAUAGUUGGGGGCAUUAGUAUUCAAUUGUCAGAGGUGAAAUUCUUGGAUUUAUUGAAGACUAACUUCUGCGAAAGCAUUUGCCAAGGAUGUUUUCAUUAAUCAAGAACGAAAGUUAGGGGAUCGAAGACGAUCAGAUACCGUCGUAGUCUUAACCAUAAACUAUGCCGACUAGGGAUCGGACGAUGUUAAAUUUUAUUGACUCGUUCGGCGCCUUACG
rnacentral:rRNA from 1 species